rnacentral:tRNA from 1 species
GUCCCUGUUGUGCAAUGGAUAGCAGGUUGGACUUCUAAUCCAAAGGUCAUGGAUUCGAAUCCCAUUCGGGAUG